rnacentral:lncRNA from 1 species
CCCAUUUGCAGUUCUUCUAGCAUCAAGACCAAUUUAAGAAGCAGGUUAUAUCCCAAAAUACAUAGUUCAACGGUAUUGUACUUACAUGCCUUUUAGGGUCUGGGUAAAGGCUGGUUGUGGUAAUUUGCUACUGUUCUUUUCAUUUGUUUGUUCUAAAGGUUCCCCUGCAUCUGAAUCUGAGCAGGUUCUGUUCAGCCCCUGUAUAAAAUAACUGCUGUAGAAGCCUCCCUAAGCUCCUUUACCUUAAACACUAAUGCAAAUCAUUUAUUUGGUUUUCUUCAAUUGUUUCUCCCCUUAAGUACCCCUUUGGCACCUCAGUCAUCUGCAGGAGCUGGCAGCUCUCCAGCAGGCUAGCAAGCUCUGGCAGAUCAGGGCCAGGAGCACUUUAGAGACAAAACUUCUUUUCACCGUGCAUCUGAUUAGUUCCUAGCACGAGAGAUCUCACCCUGGGCUGAGGCUCCUGAUGAUACUGUUACAGCCAAUUGCUGUUAUCUCCCUGUACAGGAACUGCUGAGUCACGGCCUGAACCACUGAUUGAGCACCCGGAGGAAAGACCCAGUCAGCCCUGGGAGCACAGGUGAAGGCAAUUCACUGUGUGACCAGAAGGGGUGGAGCCAGGCUCCACCCUCUCAGACCUCACUGAAGGGCUGACUGCCACUGAGGAAGGAUCUCUUUCUGGAGAUUCCUCCUUGGGGGAAUCUUUUGCCUGUGAACCCAGAAUCUUCUGAUAUGGGUGAGUGAUCUACUUUUCUUCCUUUGUAGCACUUUGCUAUUGUGCUGCUCCUUCCACCUCUUUUGUAAAGCCUUUUCCAUUGUGUUGAUCUUUCCAAUUGCUACGCUUUCCAUUUAGAUUUUGGAGCUGUUUCUUAACAAUCAGACAAAAUCAACAGUAAAACUCUUCAGGUCUGAUGCUUUGCAGGUGCUGGAUUCAUGUGCAGCUGCUUUUGGGGGCUGUGUCCAUCUGAAAGUAUUUCUCAGCAGUGACUGCAGUGGGGAAAUGGCUGUGGGCUGCCUCAUGCAGUCCCAGCCCUGCCCUGCACGCCCUGGAGCUCUCAGCCAAGCCCCUUUGGCAGCAGUGACACCGAGCUGCAGACGUGAUGCCAGAUGCCACAAUGGGACUGCAUGGGAUGCGGGACACUUAGUGCCAGCUGAGUUGGGAAGAGCUGCUCUUGCCACAAAUACUGCAGAAAGGUUUUGGGGUCUCUGGGUCAGCUGUACCUGUCAACACACCUCUGUGAAAGUGACACCAUCACAUUCACAGCUUCAGCGGCAACCUCAUAAAUCAUUGCGCUCAGCUUAGCAAGUUGUGGGUGUUACUGCAUGGACUUCCAAUGAGGGAUCUACUGGAAAUGCAUCAGAGACUGAGUUGGACACACUAUCAGAGCAGGCUAUCGAGGACAGAAAGUGCUGCCCUCCCAUGUCAAAUAAACAGCAUGUGCACAACCA